GCAGCCGCGGUAAUUCCAGCUCCAAUAGCGUAUAUUAAAGUUGUUGCAGUUAAAAAGCUCGUAGUUGAAUUUCGGGAUCAGUUCGCUGGUCGUGCCUCUGGUAUGUACUGGUGUUACUGGUUCCUCCCUUCUGACGAACUGUCAUGUCAUUUAUUUGGUGUGGCAGGGAAUCAGGACUGUUACUUUGAAAAAAUUAGAGUGUUUAAAGCAGGCUCGCGCUUGAAUACAUUAGCAUGGAAUAAUGAAAUAGGACGUUCGAUCCUAUUUUGUUGGUUUCUAGGAUUGACGUAAUGAUUAAUAGGGAUAGUUGGG
rnacentral:rRNA from 1 species